GGGGUCGUAGUGUAACUUGGCUUAGCAUUCAAGCUUCGGGAGCUUGUGGUUCUGGGUUCAAAUCCCAGCGACCCCA
rnacentral:tRNA from 1 species